rnacentral:rRNA from 1 species
GACGAACGCUGGCGGCGUGCCUAAUACAUGCAAGUCGAGCGGACAGAAGGGAGCUUGCUCCCGGAUGUUAGCGGCGGACGGGUGAGUAACACGUGGGUAACCUGCCUGUAAGACUGGGAUAACUCCGGGAAACCGGAGCUAAUACCGGAUAGUUCCUUGAACCGCAUGGUUCAAGGAUGAAAGACGGUUUCGGCUGUCACUUACAGAUGGACCCGCGGCGCAUUAGCUAGUUGGUGGGGUAAUGGCUCACCAAGGCRACGAUGCGUAGCCGACCUGAGAGGGUGAUCGGCCACACUGGGACUGAGACACGGCCCAGACUCCUACGGGAGGCAGCAGUAGGGAAUCUUCCGCAAUGGACGAAAGUCUGACGGAGCAACGCCGCGUGAGUGAUGAAGGUUUUCGGAUCGUAAAGCUCUGUUGUUAGGGAAGAACAAGUG